CCUGGGGCUGAAGUAGGUCCCAAGGGUAUGGCUGUUCGCCAUUUAAAGUGGUACGCGAGCUGGGUUUAGAACGUCGUGAGACAGUUCGGUCCCUAUCUGCCGUGGGCGCUGGAGAAUUGAGGGGGGCUGCUCCUAGUACGAGAGGACCGGAGUGGACGCAUCACUGGUGUUCGGGUUGUCAUGCCAAUGGCACUGCCCGGUAGCUAAAUGCGGAAGAGAUAAGUGCUGAAAGCAUCUAAGCACGAAACUUGCCCCGAGAUGAGUUCUCCCUGAGACCUUGAGUCUCCUGAAGGAACGUURAAGACGAUGACGUUGAUAGGUCGGGUGUGUAAGCGCAGCGAUGCGUUGAGCUAACCGAUACUAAUGAACCGUGAGGCUUAACCUU
rnacentral:rRNA from 1 species